ACAACAAUUUAUAUAAGCUACAAAGCGCCUUUACUGAAAUUGGAAAGAAAAAAAAAAGGGGUUUGAGAACGUGGCAUUAUUUAACGUCAAGUUAGUUUUGUUUGCGUUGCAAGAUUCUCUACACAAAAGGUGCAACUAUUGUUCAGAUUCUCUAUCUUCUCUCUGUAAUCAAAUACUUCCUUGGAUCGCUUUAUUCUCUUGUCUUUC